rnacentral:rRNA from 1 species
CAGCCGCCGCGGGAAUACAGAGGGUGCGAGCGUUAAUCGGAUUUACUGGGCGUAAAGCGUGCGUAGGCGGCUAAUUGAGUCGGAUGUGAAAUCCCCGAGCUUAACUUGGGAAUUGCAUUCGAUACUGGUUAGCUAGAGUGUGGGAGAGGAUGGUAGAAUUCCAGGUGUAGCGGUGAAAUGCGUAGAGAUCUGGAGGAAUACCGGUGGCGAAGGCGGCCCCCUGGACAAAGACUGACGCUCAGGUGCGAAAGCGUGGGGAGCAAACAGGAUUAGAUACCCCUGUAGUCCCUGUCUCUUAUAC